UACGUAGGGGGCAAGCGUUGUCCGGAUUUAUUGGGCGUAAAGAGCUCGUAGGCGGCUUUGGCAAGUCGGGUGUGAAAACUCCAGGCUCAACCUGGAGAUGCCACUCGAGACUGCUAUGGCUAGAGUCCGGUAGGGACCACGGAAUUCCUGGUGUAAGCGGUGAAAUGCGUAGAGAGUCGGGAGGAACAUCUGUGGCGAAGGGUCGGCCAUCUGGACCAGCACUGACACUGAGGCACGAGAGCGUGGGGAGCAAACAGG
rnacentral:rRNA from 1 species